UACAGAGGCCUCAAGCGUUGUUCGGAAUCACUGGGCGUAAAGGGUGCGUAGGCGGCCCGGUAAGUCAAAGGUGAAAUCCCUCGGCUCAACUGAGGAACUGCCUUUGAAACUGUCGGGCUUGAGGCCGGGAGGGGGUAGCGGAAUUCCCAGUGUAGCGGUGAAAUGCGUAGAUAUCGGAAGGAACAUCAGUGGCGAAAGCGACUUCCUGGACCAAUACUGACGCUCAUGUGCGAAAGCGUGGGGAGCAAACAGG
rnacentral:rRNA from 1 species